UAGCAUUUUCCCCGGGAAUAGCAUAUCAGUAAGCGGAGGAAAAGAAACUAACCAGGAUUCUCCUAGUAACGGCGAGUGAACGGAGAUUAGCCCAUCACCGAAGUCUAUUCACGUUUGUGGACAGGACAAUGUGGUGUUCAGGUGUGUACCUGGGAGUGCUUGCCUACUCGAAGUCCAACUCCGAUUAUGGCUAGGACCAGGCCCAGAGCGGGUGAAAGUCCCGUUCGGGUAGGUUGUUUGCAAUUUGAAGCACUCCUCAGAUGUACAUACUUUCGAGUCGGAUUGCUUGAGAAUGCAGUCCAAAGUGGGUGGUAAACUCCAUCCAAGGCUAAAUACUGGCACGAGUCCGAUAGUAGACAAGUACCGUGAGGGAAAGUUGAAAAGUACUCUGAAGAGAGAGUAAAUAGCACGUGAAGCCGCUUGCAGGGAAGCUGGUGGAGUCAAGCUUCAUGUUUGGAGGAUUGUCAUCAGGAUCAUCAAUGUUGUUUGGGACGUGAUACCGAUUAGCCUGGAAAGGGUUUGACGUGCUUCGGUGCGUUUCAAGUCAUUCUGGGUAGAGUGUUUGAAUCGGUGUCUAUCUCCCUGGUCCUGGUGCUUUAUUCUCUGUGACAUACAUCACAGUCAAUAAUGGUUCGUGCUGUGUGAUCGCUUAACUGUGCUUUGGCGGGCAUUCUUGUCUGCCGGGUGCGGAAUGGCAGGUGGCUUGUGCGGGCCUUGUGCUCGUAACUUGCUUAUUGUGAUUUCGAUCUGCUAGUGAUCACGUUUCACAUUUAACAGUAUCGGCCUUAUUGUUCUAAUGCGGCUUUCACUCUACGGAGUGAUUGUCAUUGAGAACUGUGAUGCUGAGGUAGACGUUCCACCCGACCCGUCUGAAAAAGUGAACACAAA
rnacentral:rRNA from 1 species